rnacentral:rRNA from 1 species
UUGGAGGGCAAGUCUGGUGCCAGCAGCCGCGGUAAUUCCAGCUCCAACAGCGUAUAUUAAAGUUGUUGCAGUUAAAAAGCUCGUAGUUGAAUUUCGGAGUUUGUCGGUUGGUCGGGCUUCACUGUCCGCACUGGCCUGAUGGAUUCCUACCUUCUGAAUAACCGGCAUGCUAUUAAGUUAGUGCGUUGGGGAAGCAGAGCUAUUACCUUGAAAAAAUUAGAGUGCUUAAAGCAGGCUUUUGCUUGAAUAGAUUAGCAUGGAAUAAUAAAAUAGGACGGCAUGGUUCUAUUUUGUUGGUUUCUAGGAUCACCGUAAUGAUUAAUAGGGAUAGUUGGGGGCAUUAGUAUUCAAUUGUCAGAGGUGAAAUUCUUGGAUUUAUUGAAGACUAACUACUGCAAAAGCAUUUGCCAAGGAUGUUUUCAUUAAUCAAGAACGAAAGUUAGGGGAUCGAAGACGAUCAGAUACCGUCGUAGUCUUAACCAUAAACUAUGCCGACUAGGGAUCGGACGAAGUUAAUUUUAUAAUGACGCGUUCGGCGCCUUACGGGAAAC